GAUGAAGAACGUAGCGAAAUGCGAUAAGUAAUGUGAAUUGCAGAAUUUAGUGAAUCAUCGAAUCUUUGAACGCACAUUGCGCCCGCCAGUAUUCUGGCGGGUAUGCCUGUUCGAGCGUCAUUACAACCCUCAGGCCCCCGGGCCUGGCGUUGGGGAUCGGCGGAGCCCCCCGUGGGCACACGCCGUCCCCCAAAUACAGUGGCGGUCCCGCCGCAGCUUCCAUCGCGUAGUAGCUAACACCUCGCGACUGGAGAGCGGCGCGGCCACGCCGUAAAACACCCAACUCUUCUGAAGUUGACCUCGAAUCAGGUAGGAAUACCCGCUGAACUUAAGCAUAUCAAUAAGCGGAGGA
rnacentral:misc_RNA from 1 species